CUGUCCUGGGAUACUUCUAGACUAAUCGGCACCUCUCUCUCUCGCACGCUCUUCUCCUUCGGUGAGUCCUUCUCCUUAGCCUUCUCCUUCAUCUGCUGGCUUUCUCUCUGUCUCGCUUCCUUAUCUAACUUUGUCAAUUCUUCCCAUCUUAGGUUUCUCUCCUCGGAAGCCUUCUCUUUAGAAUCGAACAUUUUCUCUUCUGGCUUUGUUCGGAUGGUUUCUGGUCUGUUUCUUUCUUGCUCCCUCGUGGCUUUCACUUCUGUUUUCUUUCCCAGAAUGACGGUCCUCUCAUUUGACCGUGUGCUUUCCGAAGCACCUGCUGCCACCUUGUCUCGGCGAUCCCGGUACGACUCGCGGGCAAUUGUGGAAUCUUCACCUAUGUAAACGGGGACCUCCCUUGUAUCUCCGGCUUUUGGUCUGUCAGGGAAUGUUUUCACUUGAGCCUCAGUAUUUCUUAAAAGGCCAUAGGUUGGAGAGAAAGUUCUGACGUUGGUUUGACUGCUGACGGCUUUUCCGUAUGAGUUUUCCUGCUGGGUAGUGGCCGAGGAAGAAUAUCCCGAGCCCAAGAAGCCUCUUCUGGCAUCACCUCCAAUAGAUGUGCCCGUCUGAGAUCCACGGUGCCCUGACAGGUUAGAAUACAGUGCCGAGCUGUGAUUGAAACUUGCCAAAGGUGCUUUCUGCCUUGAAAAUAGAUUCCUUUCAUUUUCCCUCUGUAGUAGUGAGUCGGUAUAGUGAUAGGAUUUGUUUCUGAAUUCUGUAGAAAUUGAACAAAGCAUUCAUUAAAAUGACAGUCAUCAUUACCCUUUUCCAUCUACAAGCAUUGUUGCAGGCCAAAUCCCAUUCCAUCAUAAUAAAUAUACACUGUUACCACAGAAAGCUCAUUAUAAAGAUAAGUUAUAUUUGGUGCCCAAAUUAUUUUUUGGCAGUUUACAAAAUCCUGUUACAAUAAAAUGUAGCACUACAAAUACUUCAGCCUAACACGUUUCUCCAGUUACUGAUAUUAAAAUACUCACUCAUCUUAACAUUAAUCAUAAAGCACAAUGCAUAUCCCAGAGAGGUCAGAGGUGCUCGUUUUUGUGGCUGAAAUUUCACAAUCUUAUAUUUUGAAAUCAUUAAUUUCUGCUUUUUGAGGUAAGUUUAAUUUACUGUAGCAGAGAAGAGCUCUGUAAUUACAAAGUGUGUCAUUAUUAAACACCAAAUAGCAUUAUCCUCCACUAUUUAAUAUACUCUUCUGUUUCACUGAUUUCCAUAUUGGGCCAACAAGUAUUAAAGAAUUUAACUUCUUUAAGCUUUCUGAUCUUUUAUUUUACAUUUAACACUUAUCUGAAAAGGAGCCAGUGCAGAAACACCCCGGUCUGUCUUAGUGUCAUGAUCCUGAAGUUGGGAGGCAGUCCUCAGGGCUUCCAGCUUUGCUCCAGGCUGUUUGCAGACAGUGCUACCCUUUGGGGUGUCCACACCCCAGCAGGGGAAACCGCUCUUUAGGAAUGGCAGCUGGUGGUUAGAACGCAGCCAGGAGCACCGUCCACCCCGAGAGUGCCCCUGGUGUCUACCCACACCCCAGCUGGCUCAGCGGGGACAGGGCUUUCUCUCUCCCUUAUGGAGCCAAGGCCAGAGGCCUCCUUUGCACAGAUCCCAAGAUACAGGAAAGAGACCAGGCCAGGACAUUUUCUACAAGACUCCUCUUUUCAGGUCAACUGAUCCUACUGAUCCAACUGAGAAGUCCCAGAAGAUGAACCCCCAGGCAAUAGUGCAGGGACCAUCUCAUUUACAGUUAAGAUUCAACAAGAAACAUGGAAGAUUACAGACUGGGUUUAGGUCCACCGGCUAGCGGGCAAGCGGCCAACAUUAUUUUAUGCAAUAUUAUAAAAGAAACACAAGCACACUAACAAGUAUUGAUAAGUUCACUACUUAGGAACUUAUCUGUAUAUUUACUCAACAGAACAGAACUAUCUAGAAGCUCAACGUCUAAUAAAAAUUCCCAACUAGUAAUUUUUAUUCUAAAGCUUUUGGCAUAAUAUGUAAUUGCCAGAAUAAAUUUAGUUUACAAAUA
rnacentral:lncRNA from 1 species